UGUAGGUGUACCUGCAGA
rnacentral:rRNA from 1 species